rnacentral:rRNA from 1 species
GACGAACGCUGGCGGCGUGGAUUAGGCAUGCAAGUCGAACGGUAUCAUCCUUUCGGGGGUGAGAGAGUGGCGAACUGGUGAGUAACACGUAGGUUAUCUACCCUCAAGACGGGGACAACCCAGGGAAACUUGGGCUAAUACCGGAUGUGAGCAACUUUUAGUUGUUUGAAAGGUGGCGUAAGCUGUCGCUUGGGGAUGAGCCUGCGUCCUAUUAGUUAGUUGGUGAGGUAACGGCUCACCUAGGCAAUGAUAGGUAGGCGGCCUUAACGGGUGGUCGCCCACACUGGGAUUGAGAUACGGCCCAGACUCCUACGGGAGCAGCAGUCGAGAAUAGUCUACAAUGGUCGGAAGACUGAUAGUGCGACGCCGCGUGAACGAUGAAUCCCUUCGGGGUGUAAAGUUCUUUUAAUGUGAGCAGUGCUUCUUAUAUUAACAGUAUGGGGAAGAGAUAUUAGCAUAUGAAUAAGCAACGGCUAACUCCGUGCCAGCAGCCGCGGU